AGAGUUUGAUCCUGGCUNNGANUGAACGCUGGCGGAAUGCUUUACACAUGCAAGUCGAACGGCAGCACGGGGGCAACCCUGGUGGCGAGUGGCGAACGGGUGAGUAAUACAUCGGAACGUGCCCAGUCGUGGGGGAUAACGUAGCGAAAGCUACGCUAAUACCGCAUACGAACUCUGGUUGAAAGCGGGGGAUCGCAAGACCUCGCGCGAUUGGAGCGGCCGAUGGCAGAUUAGGUAGUUGGUGGGGUAAAGGCCUACCAAGCCGACGAUCUGUAGCUGGUCUGAGAGGACGACCAGCCACACUGGGACUGAGACACGGCCCAGACUCCUACGGGAGGCAGCAGUGGGGAAUUUUGGACAAUGGGCGCAAGCCUGAUCCAGCCAUUCCGCGUGCAGGAUGAAGGCCCUCGGGUUGUAAACUGCUUUUGUACGGAACGAAAAAGCCUGGGCUAAUACCCCGGGUCCAUGACGGUACCGUAAGAAUAAGCACCGGCUAACUACGUGCCAGCAGCCGCGGUAAUACGUAGGGUGCAAGCGUUAAUCGGAAUUACUGGGCGUAAAGCGUGCGCAGGCGGUGAUGUAAGACAGGUGUGAAAUCCCCGGGCUUAACCUGGGAACUGCAUUUGUGACUGCAUCGCUGGAGUGCGGCAGAGGGGGAUGGAAUUCCGCGUGUAGCAGUGAAAUGCGUAGAUAUGCGGAGGAACACCGAUGGCGAAGGCAAUCCCCUGGGCCUGCACUGACGCUCAUGCACGAAAGCGUGGGGAGCAAACAGGAUUAGAUACCCUGGUAGUCCACGCCCUAAACGAUGUCAACUGGUUGUUGGGUCUUCACUGACUCAGUAACGAAGCUAACGCGUGAAGUUGACCGCCU
rnacentral:rRNA from 1 species